CUACGGGACGCUCCAGUAGGGAAUAUUGCACAAUGGAGGAAACUCUGAUGCAGCAACGCCGCGUGGAGGAUGACACUUUUCGGAGCGUAAACUCCUUUUAUAUAGGAAGAAGAUGACGGUACUAUAUGAAUAAGCGCCGGCUAACUCCGUGCCAGCAGCCGCGGUAAUACGGAGGGCGGAAGCGUUACUCGGAAUCACUGGGCGUAAAGAGCGUGUAGGCGGAUUAAAAAGUCAGAAGUGAAAUCCUAUAGCUUAACUAUAGAACUGCUUCUGAAACUCUUAAUCUAGAAUAUGGGAGAGGUAGAUGGAAUUUCUGGUGUAGGGGUAAAAUCCGUAGAGAUCAGAAGGGAUACCGAUUGCGAAGGCGAUCUACUAGAACAUUAUUGACGCUGAGACGCGAAAGCGUGGGGAGCAAACAGGAUUAGAUACCCUCGUAGUC
rnacentral:rRNA from 1 species